rnacentral:rRNA from 1 species
UUAAAAAGCUCGUAGUUGGAUUUCUGGUCGAUGACGAUCCGGUGGGGACUCUGUUUCCACCGUUCGUUCAUUGAGCAAAAUUUGUCACUAAUCUCUAUGUGUGAUUAACUUCGCUCUAGGGACAAAUGACUCGUUUACUUUGAGAAAAUUAGAGUGUUCAAAACAGGCAUCCGCCUUGAAUAUGUUAGCAUGGAAUAAUAACAUAGGACUUAGGUUCUAUUUGUUGGUUGUUCGAGAACUUGAGUAAUGAUUGAUAGGGACGGUUGGGGGCAUCCGUAUUCUCAAGCGAGAGGUGAAAUUCUUGGACCUUGGGAAGACGAACAGAUGCGAAAGCGUUUGCCAAGGACGUUCUCUUUAAUCAAGAACGAGAGUUGGGGGAUCGAAGACGAUCAGAUACCGUCGUAGUCUCAACUAUAAACUAUGCCAGCUAGGGAUCAGUGAACGUGAAUAUCGACUUCAUUGGCACCUUACGAGAAAUCAAAGCAUUUGGGUUCCGGGGGGAGUAUGGUCGCAAGGCUGAAACUUAAAGGAAUUGACGGAAGGGCACCACCAAGAGUGGAGCCUGUGGCUUAAUUUGACUCAACACGGGAAAACUUACC